rnacentral:rRNA from 1 species
GUCUAUGGCCAUGCCACCCUGAACAAGCCUGAUCCUGUCUGAUCUUGGAAGCUAAGCAGGGUCAGGCCUGGUUAGUACUUGGAUAGGAGACCACCUAGGAAGACCAGGUGCUGUAGGUG